CAGACCCUUUCGAGCAGCUCUGUUUUGAGUGGCUCUCCGACCGCGACCCCAGGUCAGGCGGGACUACCCGCUGAGUUUAAGCAUAUCAAUAAGC
rnacentral:rRNA from 1 species